rnacentral:rRNA from 1 species
UACGUAGGCAGCAAGCGUUGUUCGGAGUUACUGGGCGUAAAGGGCUCGUAGGCGGCCAACUAAGUCAGACGUGAAAUCCCUCGGCCUAACCGGGGAACUGCGUCUGAUACUGGAUGGCUUGAAUCCGGGAGAGGGAUGCGGAAUUCCAGGUGUAGCGGUGAAAUGCGUAGAUAUCUGGAGGAACACCGGUGGCGAAGGCGGCAUCCUGGACCAACACUGACACUGAUGAGCGAAAGCCAGGGGAGCAAACGGG